CGCAUGUGAGAACGUACGUAGAUAAAAGAUGUUACAAGCUGGCAGUAAUAAACGAUUCAGCUGUACAUUUGAAAUUAUAGUGAACAUCAUUAUGGAAUAUUCACCAGCUAUGAAUAACAUAUGUGGUCCUAGAUUUGCCGCAUGUGAGAACGUACGUAGAUAAAAGAUGUUACAAGCUGGCAGUAAUAAACGAUUCAGCUGUACAUUUGAAAUUAUAGUGAACAUCAUUAUGGAAUAUUCACCAGUUAUGAAUAACAUAUGUGGUCCUAGAUAUGCCGCAUGUGAGAACGUACGUAGA